AUACGGAAACUGCUCAGUAGAAGGUGAUAAGUACAUAACGGCACAGCUGUAGAUGUAGAAGUUGGGUGGUCAUGAAGGCGGUUACCAUGGAAACGGCAGAUGACAGCGGUUACAAGGCUUGUGAGGAUAUUGCCAAUGUGCGUGUUUUUGUGCCGGACCUACAGCUUGAGAAGUUUUUUCAGUUUCACCAAGAAGAGUUGGUGUGGGAUGUUAAACAACAAAUUCUAUCCUCUCUACCAAAAGAGCUAAACGAAAGUGUCAACUAUGGUCUGUUUACUACUCCGAAGAAUGGAAAAGCAGGCAAAUUCCUGGAUGAAGAAAGGCUUCUGAUCGACUAUCCGUUUAGUGAACCCGUGGGUUAUCUUGAACUGCGAUAUAAACGUCGUGUUUAUAAGAUGAUGAACACUGAUGAAAAGCAAGUUAAGCAACUACACACAAGAACAAAUCUUCGUAGAAUGGUUGACUAUGUCAAUAAUGGAAAUGUGGAUAAGAUAGUUAAACUGUGUGCAAAAGGAUUAGACCCCAAUUUUCACUGUCCUGAGAGUGGUGAAUCUCCUUUGAUGCUUGCAACGACUUUGCAUCAGCCUGCUGCUGUUCUGAUGGAACUUGUGAAUGGUGGUGCCCAUUUAGAUUACAGAAUGAAAGAUGGAAGGACUGCACUCCAUCGUGCUGUGGAGAAAAACAAUUUUGAAGCCUUAAAGAGUCUGCUUGAUUUGGGAGCAUCACCAAACUAUAAAGAUAACAGAGGUUUAACAGCACUGUACUACAGUGUCUCCUACGGCCGUGAUCCAAAACUAACAGAAUGUUUGUUACACGAUCAUGCCAUCUUUGGAGUGGCUGAUCAUCAAGGGUGGCAAGAAGUCCAUCAGGCUUGCAAACAUGGUUUAGUUCAGCAUCUAGAACAUCUUUUGUUUUAUGGAGCAGACAUAAACUCUCGCAAUGCUAGUGGUAACACCCCUCUUCAUGUGUGUGCAGUAAAUGACCAAGAAAGCUGUGCCAGGGUUUUACUUUUCCGAGGUGCCAAUAAGAAUGCACUAAACUAUGCUAACCAGAGUCCCUACCAGGUGGCAGUAAUAGCUGGAAACCAUCACAUGGCUGAAGUAAUACAAAAUCAUAGGGCUGAAGAUGUAGUUCCAUACCGAGAGGCUCCACAGUAUAAUCUUCGGAGGCGGGCCAGUGUUGCUAUGGUGACAGUUUUAAAUUGCACUGAUAGUGACCCACACUUUGAACUAGUCCUUGGUGGCAAACCACCCUCUCCUUGCCCCUCCUACCGCUCUUUGCCCCCUUUCUCGUCUGUUUCAACAAUUUCUGAGGCAUCAACUGGUUCUUCUUCCACCUGCACACAGCCAAGUGGCGAAGAUAGUGAAGAUACAACAUCAGCUAGUGUAAUAACAGAAAGAAGUAUCACUAGUGAUUCUUCAGGUGUUUGCACAAGUAACAGUGGAGCAAGUGAAUCAAUUACUGAACUCUUCCCUCCUGGCACUACCUGUGUGUGUAUGGAAGAUUAUUACCCUUGUAGUCCUACUCAUCUUCAGUUGACACGAGGAGAUAUUUUGGAUAUUGUUGGUGUCUCUGAUUGUGGACUUCUUGAAGGCAGGCUAAGAAAUGGAGUAGAAGGUUUAUUUCCAUCUUCAUGUGUUCAGGAAAUAAAGUUGAGAAAAAUUGAAGACCUGCCACCAAUUGGCCGACCUCGAGUUGAAGGCCGUAGAGAAUUGAAUACAAGAAAAACUAACACCAUUCCAAGAAAGUGGAAAGUGUAUGGAGAUGCACGAACUGUGAUCCUCCACAAAGGAAAGAAAGGUUUUGGUUUUGUUCUCAGAGGAGCUCAGUCUACAAGUCCACUGAUGGAAAGGCAAGUGACAGAUAACUGGCCAAGCUUGCAAUACCUUGAUGAUGUAGAUAGAGGUGGAAUUGCUGAUUUAGCUGGAUUAAAGAAAGGGGAUUUCCUAUUGGAGAUCAAUGGACAAGAUGUGUCUCAAGCUCCACAUGAAAGAGUUGUAGCAAUAAUUCGUCAGUCUGGAGAUUUAGUUGCCAUGACAGUAGUUUCAGUACAGACGCAGCUAACUAGAAAUGCCAGUGAUAAAUCAGAUACUGUGCAGCGACAGUGUGCCACCCUACCACGCAAACUUUCUCUUAAAAAAGCUCCACCACCACCCAGACGGGAUCCUCGAACUACUCUUUCUGUUGGUAGGGCACGAGCACGUUCCCUUGUGGCUGAACUAACAGACAUAGAGGCACUGGACAGAACAGUAAAUGAAUACGACUCUGAAGGAAGAUCAACCAAAAGUAGUUCCAUUGAAAGCAUUCCAAACAAGCCAGCAAAUUUUGUAGCAGAAAGUUCAAACAAGGUUGCUUCCAUUUAUCCUGCAUCAUGUGCGAGAGAUAUUCCCACAUCAGAAUUGGAGUGUAUUUUUUCUAACCAGAGAGAAAAGAAUCAUAUAGAGCAUUCUUUUACAGUUUCAAAAAACUUGUUUUCUUUGACUAAGAUGCCAAAGGUUUAUGCUAGCGUAGCAGCAAUGAAACGCUCAAAAGCUACACGUUCCAAGACGUAUGAUGUGGUGAAAGCACACAAAACAUUCCAUAGCACUCCAGAUCUAAGUGUUGAUGUGGAGAGGUAUAACAGCCUUAAUCAUUAUAAGAAUAAAUGUCUUAGUCAGGAAGACAUCCAUGUUUUGGAUGCCAAAAACUUUAGACAUUCAUGGGCUUGUCCUCCACACAACUACAAAAAGUAUUUUGGUUCUUCGGUCCGAGAACGUGUUACAUCUUCUUAUAAGUCUUGGAAGUCUAUUGAAGAUUUAUAUGACCAAGUUACUAGUGCAAAAAAAAUUGAUACUUUGACCAAAACUGAAGUUCCUUGUCAGAUUUAUGCAGAAACUCUGCCUCUUCACCAGAAUGAGAAAGUGCCAGUGCCACCAAGAACCAAGUGUCCUCCUCCGACAAACCGUCCACCUCCUCCUCCACAGGGACUAGUAGUGAAAGUUAAUGUUUCACGAUCAUUAGGAGAGUAUGCUAAUAUUACCACUGCAAGAAGACCCGAAUCUGCAAUUAUGUCGAGUUUUCGUCCUGGAGAUAAUGCCAAACUGCUUGUCCCUCCUGAGUCAAUGGUGCCUGUAGGUUACAAGACUACAACUGAGACUCUAAAGCUUGAGCAUUCUUCCUCAAGAGCAAGUGGAGGCUCCAGCUUCAGGUCUCAUUCCUUGCCUCCAAAGAUAUCAGGAUCAAAACUGUUAACUACAUCAAGUACUUUCUCUGAAACGGAAAAUAGUGGAGAAUCUGGGGAAAUUCAUUCCACUUUUAGAAUGUAUCACAAACAAAGAGAUUCGUUAUCCUCUGACAGUGGGUUGAUGUCUGAUAAUGGGACUCUGAAAACACAGAAGCAUCAGGUUGUCAGUGGAAGAAUUUGUCCUGCAGAAGUUCAUAAUAUUCAGAAAGCUGCAAAUUGCAAAACCUCUGAACCGUUUAUUCCAGAACCUGAUUAUGAAAGCAGUGAGGAAGAAGUUAGUUUUUCUUCCAAAGGCUUGAAAGAUCAGAAAACCUCUACUGGAGACAAAGUACAACCUACAGAUUGUUGUUCAAGAUAUUCUCACCUUCAAAAUACACAUAUGCAAGCGAUUCAAGCCAUGCAAGAAGCAAGAAUGAAACUCAGACUUGCUCAAAAUUAUCAGAGCAAAACAAGUAAUUAUGACCAUAAACCCAAUGUUAGUACUAAUGACACUAAGCAAGUGCCCAGAAGUUAUAAUGAAAGAAAUACAUAUGAUGGACAUAUAGGAACAGCACUGUUGAGAAGCAGGCAGAAUGAGUUUGAAGAAAAUUCAAAUUUAUUAGACAUCAAAACAGAAACCAAAACUGUUUCCCAAACUUGUUUGAUGUCUUUUGGGUCUGAUCACCAUGCAGAUUUAACAAAAAAUGACUAUAAAGAUUCUUGUAAAAUAGAAAGCAUACCAACAAGUCACAAAGAAGAAAUAACUGUAAAAUUUUCUCCAAGUCCAUUAAAUGAAAAGAUAUCUGUUUUUGAACAAAAAAAGAAUUCUAGUAAGUCUGCUACCUUACCUUCCAAGAAGAUUGAUGAUCUCCAUAUAGCAAUCAUAGGAGCUCAGAACAGAUCACAAACAAACCAACAGGAUGUAUCUUUGCCUUUUAGCACUUUAAUAAGAUCAUCCAAAUCAUUUCCUAAUAACUUUGAACAUGAAGAUCUUGAUAAAUAUGAGAACAGUUCUAGUGGUGUUUCAUCAGAUGUUGAAAUUCAGAAUGAGUCUACUGUGACUGGGAUCUCACCAGAAGAUGGCCAUAAAGUUAAAGGGCAAAAUAAAGAAAACUUUUCUGUCAAAAUGGAGAAGUUUGGUGAUAGUUUUACAGAAGUACUCCAAAAAGUGGAUUCUCAAAGUCUAAACAAGCAAAUUAAUACUGGCUAUGAUAGUUCUUCAUCAAUAGUUACGAGUAGAGUCAACCAUAACAAAAUUUUGGUUUCUAGCCAAAAAUCUGAAUCUUAUGUUGACAGAACUAAUCCUACUUUUGAACAAAAUCAAAAUUCUAGUUCAAAAGUUAAACUUAUCAAAACACUAGAAAAUGAAAAUAAAAGUUUUGAUGCUGGUGAGGUGGAAAGUAAUCACAAAAAGACUUUCUUAGAUAAUAAAGGUCAGUGGAGGAAAAUUGAAAAUGAAACUUCAAAGUUGAUUCAGAGUAGUGAUGAAAGCCUUCAGCUGAUCCGUCUUGAAGUAGAUUCCCUGGGUCUAGCAGCAGUGAAUGAGGUAGAUGUGCUCACUGAACUUGUUCCUCCUCCUCCAGAGUUUGCAGCAGGGCCUCCAUCAUCCAGUUCCUCUAGCAUUAGUUCUACUGACCACUAUCCACCAAUGAUAGCACCACCUCCUGAAUUUUACUAGUAAGGUUGUACCUACUCUCCAGAAAUUAUUAAUCGAUAGCAUUUCAUGGGUCAAAUGAGUUCUCUCAAUUAUCAGGUGACUAGUCAUCCCUGUCAGGACUGUUCACACAACAGUCUUAGUGAUACUAUGGUUUCCCAGUUUUCACAGUGUAUUGAAAAGACAUACAUGGAUAGUCCCAUAUGCAAACUAAAAAUUCUCAUUUAGUACAUCAAUAAGACGUCUUAUCCUGUAACAUCUUAUCAAGGUUGUUGACCCAGUCAGCAACCAUACAAAACAAGCACCUUCAGUGAUGAGGAUUUGAACUUGUGACCCUCAGAUUGUGAGUUGAGCAGCGUUACCACCAGGCCCAUGGAACCCACUAACCCCCUUAAUAACUAUAUGAAAAAAUUUUGACAGUUCAUGUUUGUUCUAACUUGAAAAUAUUUUCACAGGUUUUAUAGCCAUAAGUGAUUAGAUCAGUCUGCUGAUACCUUACAAUGUAGCUACUUAUACUAACAUAUUAAAUAUUAAGGAAUAGUGCAUUGUUUUAUAUAAUAAAAAGAUGGUAUUCAUUCUUUAUCUCUUUAAAACAUGAGCCAUAAUAUUUUUUUUCAUUGAUGUUGAAAUGUAAAAAUAAUUCAUUUUUCACAAAUAGAAAGUUUAAGUUUGUGCUUAUUCUACAUAAGACAGAAAGUUUACUUAAAAUGAAGUAGUUUUGCAAAACUUCCUAGACAAGUAGUUUUUUUUCAGGCAAGGGAAAUAGCACAUUUAUUAAUUAAUUUAUUAAUAAUGCUAUUAAAAUAAAUAUCACAUUUAUUUAUUAAGCAGAAAGAAAUUUUAUCAGUUAAUCUCUAUUACUGAAAACAUUAAUAUUUCUUUAAAUUUUGCACAUUCAUUUAAAGAAGAUUAGAAAAUGUACUGGAGUUGACCUGUUUGAUAUGCAAAUUAUUUGCAAAAUGGCUAAGUUACGCUUGUCUCUAUUUGUUGUUUGGAUAAAAUUUUCAAUACAACUGUAAUACAGGAUGAGAAAAAUUGUAUAUCAUUAGUUAAUUUUAGCACAAUACUAAUCUAUACCUCUUGGAUCUUAUCUACAGUAUUGUAAAUAAAUUAAUCUGAUAAUGUAACCUACAUGCACUAAUAGAAUUUGGCCUAAAAAUUACAUCACGUUUUUCAUCAUAGAACAUUUUUUUGGAAGUGUUCUCACAUAAUGUUCUGUAAUUAUUCAUUGCAUAUAUAAUUGUUAUAUUUGUAAAAUACCAGUUAUGUUAUAUAGACAGUUAUAGGCUUGUAGACCAUGUAUAUUACACAUUGCCUUUAUUAUUAAAGUAAGUUCCAGUCAAAUGUUGAGCUAAUGUUUGGUUACAUGUUUAUGAUGCUUUCAUGUAAUAGUAAAAUUAUAUAUCAUGUAAAAAGUAUAUUUCCUGUGGUUGAGCCCAUCAACUCAACCCAUCACUGAUCCUUAUCAAGAUAUACAGUAGAUCCAUUUGUAGUGGAUUUAUUGUGGCUUUACAGUGAAUGUUGUAUUACUUUUAGAUUGUAAAGAUGUUAAUAAAAGUGGAAGCUAUCACCCCAUACCUCUCCA
rnacentral:misc_RNA from 1 species